UCGGCAAGCCAAGAUAGUGUGGGCUUCAACUUAUUUUUAGUUGUUUUUUCAUAAAAAGAGUAAUUCAUGUAAUACAUAAGCCUCAAUCCAUUAUCGUCUUACGAAUAUGAUUUAAAUGAUCAAUCAUACCUGUAAUAUAAAUUCCAUAUCUGGAGCACAGACAUACCAUCGAGAUCAUAAAGCUGCCGCCAAGAAUGCCAAUCCCAUUUUACUGGAUCGCCGUCUGCGAACUUUUGCAAUUUACUAUGCAUAGCUAGUCUUUGUCACCUAUACCCUAUUCGUUCUUCCGGAGGCAUUAUGAUCGUUAUCUUUGGGCUUUUGAUACCAUUCGGCAUGUUAUCAGGUUAAUAAUUAUAACAAUGAAUGAAAUUAUAAGGAGAUGAUUAGUAAUUGGGUUCAGUUUCAUGAAUUAAUAUCCAUAAAUAUGAAUGAUGUUGUAGGAGUUACGAGGUAAGUGUCUCCUGAUGUAGACUAAAUUCCCACUCCCGCCUUCGUCAAUGGAACCGGUUUGAACCAGUCACAACUCACCGGCUUCAUUCGGCCAUCGUCAGCAUCCCAUAUUUGGCAAGUUGCAGUUUUACUACGACCCGGCAUCUUCACAACCACGUUGCUCUCUCUGUUUACAAACACAAGUGUUAUAGUUCGAGUCAGCAUUUCAUUGACGGUAUUUCAUCCGUUUCAUCCGUUUUUGGGGGACACAACCACACCUUUUUCAUUUCUGAUCUGAUAUUUAUGGGAUAACAAGAGGUCGGUCUGUCUGCCAGGCAAAAUGUUAUCUACUCUGCAUGUAUGCAGCUUUCAAAACCGAGAGUGACUGAAGAUAUUCCAAACCAUUCAUUACGGAAAUCAUCAUUUCUUACUCGAUUGUAACAACUUACGAUGCGUCAAAGCCAAAUUUACAGGGGUUUUCCCGGAAAGUAAUUAAGAA